rnacentral:lncRNA from 1 species
CGCUCCUCUGCGGAGGGUUUCCCUAAGAAGGUGGGCCUAGCAGGGUCACCGGGGGACGGGGAGCUGUGCCUCACUGCCCUGCCCUCGUCGGAGAAACCCUCGUGCAGAGGACUUCAGAAAGCCAGAAACUUGUGUGUUGAGUAUGUCCUUGUGAGCCUCCACCAUUUACUGGUGGGUGCAGCCUGGACUGUCUAGAGACAGACCAGACCAGCUGCACAACACAGACACUUCAAACCUCAUCUGAGGACAAAAACUACAAGAACAAUAGAAACAAAAAAGAAAACGUAGCUUAGGACCGUGCAGGGUUACACAGGAGACGGCAGCACUGCAGAGGUGAGGACCGGCAGCUGUCUGAAAGAGACAAAACAAUACACACAAACACACACAACAACAGAGGAGAAACAAACAGAGAGAGGGGGAAAAGUGGUUAUCACGAACUUGAGGACAUUACCUACAUAUAAAUAAUUAUGAAUUAUUAUAAAUUUGUUGGGGUUUUUUUGUUAACAAUGUCAGAAGGAGAGAGGCACUGAGGCACCGUCUUCCGCCCCCCGACACUCCUGCUGUGCCUUCUCCUUCUGACAGGAAGUGCCUACAGUGCAAGUAUGAAUGAUGCCUGAAUGGACGUACACAACUCAGAGGUGAGCCUUUGUGAGUCUUUUUUCUGUUAGUGAACAACUGAUAAAUAGAAAAAAGAAGGAAAACUUAUCUUAGAAAUCUGUAGGUUUGUUUCCUCUGAGACAUGCUGGAAUCUGUAAACAGUUACUCUCAAAAGGAUCUAGGUAUUUCAAAAUACUUCACUGUUAAAAGUUUCAAUUCUGCAAACAUAAACUGAUUAACGAAGCUGCGAUUACCGAACUAAAAGUCAUCGCUUUUCACCCCUAUUUAUGGAUUUAGAGAUCAAAAGAUCAAAGGAUCAAAGUUUUUUUGUAAGAGUCUAAAUAUAUGUGACGUCAACAUCCCAUGACAUUUGUGGACCCUGGUAUUCUUUUUACUUGGAGAAUUUAU